GAUGAACGCUGGCGGCGUGCCUAAUACAUGCAAGUCGAGCGAACAGAUGAGAAGCUUGCUCCUCUGACGUUAGCGGCGGACGGGUGAGUAACACGUGGAUACCCUACCUAUAAGACUGGGAUAACUUCGGGAAACCGGAGCUAAUACCGGAUAAUAUAUUGAACCGCAUGGUUCAAUAGUGAAAGACGGUUUUGCUGUCACUUAUAGAUGGAUCCGCGCCGCAUUAGCUAGUUGGUAAGGUAACGGCUUACCAAGGCAACGAUGCGUAGCCGACCUGAGAGGGUGAUCGGCCACACUGGAACUGAGACACGGUCCAGACUCCUACGGGAGGCAGCAGUAGGGAAUCUUCCGCAAUGGGCGAAAGCUUGACGGAGCAACGCCGCGUGAGUGAUGAAGGUCUUCGGAUCGUAAAACUCUGUUAUUAGGGAAGAACAAAUGUGUAAGUAACUAUGCACGUCUUGACGGUACCUAAUCAGAAAGCCACGGCUAACUACGUG
rnacentral:rRNA from 1 species